rnacentral:rRNA from 1 species
UGCCAGCCGCCGCGGUAAUACGGAGGGGGCGAGCGUUAUUCGGAAUCAUUGGGCGUAAAGGGCGCGUAGGCGGCCCGCUAAGUCAGUGGUGAAAUCCCUCGGCUCAACCGAGGAAUUGCCUCUGAAACUGGCAGGCUUGAGGCCGGGAGAGGGUAGUGGAAUUCCCAGUGUAGCGGUGAAAUGCGUAGAUAUUGGGAGGAACACCGGUGGCGAAGGCGGCUGCCUGGACCGGUUCUGACGCUGAGGCGCGAAAGUGUGGGGAGCAAACAGGAUUAGAUA